UACGGGGGGGGGCAAGCGUUGUUCGGAAUUACUGGGCGUAAAGGGCUCGUAGGUGGCCAACUAAGUCAUACGUGAAAUCCCUCAGCUUAACUGGGGAACUGCGUCUGAUACUGGAUGGCUUGAGUUUGGGAGAGGGAUGCGGAAUUCCAGGUGUAGCGGUGAAAUGCGUAGAUAUCUGGAGGAACACCGGUGGCGAAGGCGGCAUCCUGGACCAAUACUGACACUGAGGAGCGAAAGCCAGGGGAGCAAACGGA
rnacentral:rRNA from 1 species